UGGACCAGGAGAAAGCCUUUGACAGGAUAUCACACAGGUUGAUUGAGAGAUAUAUAAUGGCCAGGGUAUCGAGGGUGAGGGAACGUGAGGACUGCAGAUGCUGGGCCUUGGUGAAACUAUAUCUGGGGUAACACAUUUGGUCUCCCAGAGUAUCUGACAUCGAGGGAGUAUGGCAAAGUUUUACUUGGCUGAUAACUGGGAGACAGGACUACCAAAUGAGAAGAGACUGGACCUGUAUUGACUAGAGUUUUGGAAGCAGGAAAUGUAGCAGUCAAUCUAUGAAGGACAAACCUGAGGCAAGAAAAAUAAGCAACUGGCGAUGUCCGGCAUUUUGCAUUGAUGGUGAAGGUGUAAACAUUUUCUGCUGUGAUUCCAGUGAAAGUCGCAGUAGUUUUGGGGUUUGGGGCAUGCACACAACGUGGUGAAAAUCCAGAAGCUGUCAUCAAAGGUUCUCCACUCCUCCAGAAGAUGCACUGUUGAGGUUCCCACGGAUUGUCAUCUUCCUUACAAUCACAAACUGACAAGAAAUUCAAAUCUAACACUCUCUGUAGAAACCUUGGAAAAAGUCUCAACACGUUGAACAAGGUGUAAGCAGCAUAUUAAUAAUGUCUUAACUUCAUAAAUUACCAUGAAGCACCCUUUCUUCUUCUGCAAUGUUAAUUUUAUAUUUGUACAUGUCAAAUUUCUCCACAAAUAAUUAAACAUGUCAUACAUUUUAAAAACUAUGUUAUUUUCCUAAUUUGUUGGAAGUCUGGUAA